AAAAACAUCGUCAUAAAGCCCCCCCCCCCCCCCCCCCCCCCCGACGAUUUUCCCCCUUUCUCACACAGAUCGGCUGACACCUUCCCCCAUGCGAUUUCACUCCUUUUUCCCACAGUGAUAUCAUUGCCCCUUCUCCCACAGUCGUUGCCACUCCCCUUCUCCCAUAGUCGCGCCCCACUUUCUCCUACAGUCGCCGUACACAGCCGCCCCCUACGAUUUCCCCUCCUUGUGCCCAACUCCCCUCUCGUCGCAGUAGCUCUCCUGACGGUGCCCUUGUCUUCUCACCGUAAUCGUCGUCGAUGCUAUCCUUCGUACGCUCGCCAAAGUUUGGGAGGUGAAUGUAGACAGAAGAAGAUUGUGCAUCAAAAAGAACACAGAACCAUGAAUUCUAUAAAUAAGUACCUCAAGUUGGUUCACUUUGCGAAUCCAAUAAAGCUAUACACCCGUGAGAGAGAUGUUCAGCCCUAGAUGGCUAGAUUUCACAUCAUUUGACACCAAAUGCUUGAGCGUAUGUCUGAUUAAACUCUUCACCGCUCUUCAAUAGGCAAAGACUGGAUUUUAUUCAAGAACACCAUAAAUAAAAAGGAAAAACAAAACAAAAACAAUGAUUCACUCAAAUAGAUUGAUUCGGUUUUCUAGGAUUCUUUUGAAGCAGAAUAAAAAGGCAACUAUCACGAAUUUGACUAGCAUUUAACAUUAGAAGCAAUAGGAGCAGAAACUUUACAACGGCGUUCUUGGAGCACUACAUACAGGAGAGAAAUUAAGGGUUUUUUGUUGCAGUGCAGAAAGUAAGAGAGAAUUUCGAAAGGAGUGGGCUUUAUAGACAUUAAGGAUGAUGUAUAAUUGCUCGUUGUUCUUGAAGACUUCGGCAAAUGAGUCAGUAUCAAUCAGCAUUGAGGAUGGUCAUGGGCCCAUGACAGCAGAAUGCUUCCAUCUUGGAGGCUCGCAUUGUCGUUGGAGAUGAAGGCGAUGCAGUCAACCAUGUUGAGGAUGAGGCUAGAAUUUUGUUUGCAGUAGAGACAAUGGAGGAAACGACAGCCAAGGCAACCAUAAUGAAGAGACUAAGAGAAGCUUGCCAUUUCCAAGGGGAAAGAGAGAGUGAAAUGAAAAGGGAAAUGCCAAUGGGGAAAGGAGAAGGAGAAGCGGGGAAAUGCGUAACAAGGAGAAGAGGCUGGGUAAAGGGCUUCACGCAAAAUUAAAAUUAAAUGAGAGGAAAAUGUAAAUUUCAACUAGCGCCUAAAUUUUCUACAUUUUUUCAAUAGCUGUUUUUUUUUCCUUUUUUGGUAACCAAGUGCUAUUGUUGUUGUAGUGUCUGUUUGCAACCAAUAAGACUGAUAAAUCCCCUAACUAAUUACCGAUACACUCUUCAUAACA